AUUGAACGCUGGCGGCAGGCCUAACACAUGCAAGUCGAGCGGAUGAAGGGAGCUUGCUCCUGGAUUCAGCGGCGGACGGGUGAGUAAUGCCUAGGAAUCUGCCUGGUAGUGGGGGAUAACGUCCGCAAACGGGCGCUAAUACCGCCUACGUCCUGAGGGAGAAAGUGGGGGGUCUUCGGACCUCACGCUAUCAUAUGAGCCUAGGUCGGAUUAGCUAGUUGGUGGGGUAAAGGCCUACCAAGGCGACGAUCGGUAACUGGUCUGAGAGGAUGAUCAGUCACACUGGAACUGAGACACGGUCCAGACUACUACGGGAGGCAGCAGUGGGGAAUAUUGGACAAUGGGCGAAAGCCUGAUCCAGCCAGGCCGCGUGUGUGAAGAAGGUCUUCGGAUUGUAAAGCACUUUAAGUUGGGAGGAAGGGCAGUCAGUUAAUACCUUGCUGUUUUGACGUUACCGACAGAAUAAGCACCGGCUAACUUCGUG
rnacentral:rRNA from 1 species